rnacentral:rRNA from 1 species
UACGUAGGGUGCAAGCGUUGUCCGGAAUCAUUGGGCGUAAAGCGCGCGCAGGCGGUCCUUUAAGUCUGAUGUGAAAGCCCACGGCUCAACCGUGGAGGGUCAUUGGAAACUGGGGGACUUGAGUGCAGGAGAGAAGAGUGGAAUUCCACGUGUAGCGGUGAAAUGCGUAGAGAUGUGGAGGAACACCAGUGGCGAAGGCGACUCUUUGGCCUGUAACUGACGCUGAGGCGCGAAAGCGUGGGGAGCAAACAGG